GUCUAUGGACAUGCUACCCUGAACAAGCCCGAUCCCAUCUGAUCUCGGAAGCUAAGCAGGGCUGGGUCUGGUUAGUACUUGGAUAGGAGACCACCUAGGAAGACCAGCUGCUGUAGGUG
rnacentral:rRNA from 1 species